AUUGAACGCUGGCGGCAGGCCUAACACAUGCAAGUCGAGCGAGCGGCGGACGGGUGAGUAAUGUCUGGGAAACUGCCUGAUGGAGGGGGAUAACUACUGGAAACGGUAGCUAAUACCGCAUACCAUCAGAUGUGCCCAGAUGGGAGUAGCUAGUAGGUGGGGUAACGGCUCACCUAGGCGACGAUCCCUAGCUGGUCGGAGAGGAUGACCAGCCACACUGGAACUGAGGGACGGUCCAAACGCCUAGGGGAGGCAGCAGGGGGGAAUAUUGCACAAUGGGAGAAAGCCUGAUGCACCCAUGCCGCGUGUAUGAAGAAGGCCUUCGGGUUGUAAAGUACUUUAAGCGGGUAGGCGUUACCCGCAGAAGAAGCACCGGCUAACUCCGUGCCAGCAGCCGCGGUAAUAC
rnacentral:rRNA from 1 species